rnacentral:rRNA from 1 species
AGGAGGCAGCAGUGGGGAAUCUUGCACAAUGGAGGAAACUCUGAUGCAGCGACGCCGCGUGAGCGAUGAAGCCCUUCGGGGUGUAAAGCUCUUUCGACAGGAACGAUAAUGACGGUACCUGGAGAAGAAGCUGCGGCUAACUACGUGCCAGCAGCCGCGGUAAUACGUAGGCAGCAAGCGUUGUUCGGAAUUACUGGGCGUAAAGAGUGUGUAGGCGGUUCUCUAAGUUCGGUGUGAAAUCUCCCGGCUUAACUGGGAGGGUGCGCCGGAAACUGGAGGGCUUGAGUAUGGGAGAGGAAGGCGGAAUUCCUGGUGUAGCGGUGAAAUGCGUAGAUAUCAGGAGGAACACCUGCGGUGUAGACAGCUUUCUGGACCAUCACUGACGCUGAGACACGAAAGCGUGGGUAGCAAACAGGAUUAGAUACCCCCGUA